GCUUAACCGAAGAAGUGCAUCGGAAACUGGGAGACUUGAGUGCAGAAGAGGACAGUGGAACUCCAUGGGUAGCGGUGGAAUGCGUAGAUAUAUGGAAGAACACCAGUGGCGAAGGCGGCUGUCUAGUCUGUAACUGACGCUGAGGCUCGAAAGCAUGGGUAGCGAACAGGAUUAGAUACCCUGGUAGUCCAUGCCGUAAACGAUGAGUGCUAAGUGUUGGAGGGUUUCCGCCCUUCAGUGCUGCAGCUAACGCAUUAAGCACUCCGCCUGGGGAGUACGACCGCAAGGUUGAAACUCAAAGGAAUUGACGGGGGCCCGCACAAGCGGUGGAGCAUGUGGUUUAAUUCGAAGCUACGCGAAGAACCUUACCAGGUCUUGACAUCUUCUGCCAAUCUAAGAGAUUAGACGUUCCCUUCGGGGACAGAAUGACAGGUGGUGCAUGGUUGUCGUCAGCUCGUGUCGUGAGAUGUUGGGUUAAGUCCCGCAACGAGCGCAACCCUUAUUAUCAGUUGCCAGCAUUCAGUUGGGCACUCUGGUGAGACUGCCGGUGACAAACCGGAGGAAGGUGGGGAUGACGUCAAAUCAUCAUGCCCCUUAUGACCUGGGCUACACACGUGCUACAAUGGACGGUACAACG
rnacentral:rRNA from 1 species